UCCAAUGGAGAAAACGUAAAUUCAGAGGCACUCUCCUAUGUUGGAAACUGUGGCUAGACCUUCACAGGAAAGGAAAUAUGUGAAGUUAGAUGUUCGGCCUUAUUAGUAAUUAGAAAAAUGUUUAAAAUUAACCUGAGAUUCAAUUUUCCAAUCAUUUAACUGAUAGAAAAACCUAUAAAUUAAAAAUGAAAUAUGUCAAUAAUAAGCAUUGGAAAUGAUGUGGAUUUACAAAUUACGUGGGGUACAAAUUGGUAUAAACACUUUGGAAAAGACUUUGGCAUUAACCGCUUAAGUUGAACAUUCAUAUACCUUAUAACCAAGCACUUCAAAUUCUAGGCAUAUGUAUGUGAAUACUCUUUCACAUGUUUAGUAGAAGAUGUGUAAAUGGCUGUUCACAGAACCAGAUCACAGAACACACCAGAGUUCUCUAAUAUGAACACUGUGAUAUAUUUAUACAAUAGAAUGUUACAUAACAAAGAAAACAAAUGAACUACGUAGCAUGGGACAACAUGGAGGAAGCUUGAGCAUAUACAAUUAAAUUAAAAAUUAAGUCACCAAAAGAUGGCUUUUUAUUAAUAUAAUAAUAUUUAAAACCUCAUGUAUUUUUCAAGAUUACACAUAGAUACAGGAACCAGGAAGAAGAACUUGAUAACAGGACCUUGCAUAAUUAAUCGAUUGAUCACUGAACUUCAUUGUCAUAUUUCUACGGUCAAAUUUUGGGAGAAAGCUGUCGCAAAUUCAUCAGAGUGUAGCAAUGCCCGAGUUGUAACUGAGUUCCAUCUGGAUAAAACCAAGAUAGAAAUUGUGCCUCAUAAUUGAUAUUUUGAGGAUUCCAUGAAGUAAUAAAUUUAUUAUGUGCUAAGAAAUAUG
rnacentral:lncRNA from 1 species